GUCCACGCCCUAAACGAUGUCAACUGGUUGUUGGACGGCUUGCUGUUCAGUAACGAAGCUAACGCGUGAAGUUGACCGCCUGGGGAGUACGGCCGCAAGGUUGAACUCAAAGGAAUUGACGGGACCCGCACAAGCGGUGGAUGAUGUGGUUUAAUUCGAUGCAACGCGAAACCUUACCUACCCUUGACAUGUCAAGAAUUUUGCAGAGAUGUGGAAGUGCUCGAAAGAGAACUUGAACACAGGUGCUGCAUGGCCGUCGU
rnacentral:rRNA from 1 species